rnacentral:rRNA from 1 species
CUUACGGGAGGCACCAGUUGGUAAUAUUGGACAAAGGGUGCAAGCCUGAUCCAGCCAUUCACGCGUGAGUGAUGAAGGCAUCAGGGUUGUAAAGCUCUUUCCCCUGUUGAAGAUAAUGACGGUAACCGGAGAAGAAGCCCCCGCUAACUUGGUGCCAGCAGCCGCGGUAAU